GCGGACUUCUUAAAAGCUUGCUUUUAAGAAGUCAGCGGCGGACGGGUGAGUAACACGUGGGCAACCUGCCUGUAAGACUGGGAUAACUUCGGGAAACCGGAGCUAAUACCGGAUAAUAUAAGGAACCUCCUGGUUCUUUAUUGAAAGAUGGUUUCGGCUAUCACUUACAGAUGGGCCCGCGGCGCAUUAGCUAGUUGGUGAGGUAAUGGCUCACCAAGGCGACGAUGCGUAGCCGACCUGAGAGGGUGAUCGGCCACACUGGGACUGAGACACGGCCCAGACUCCUACGGGAGGCAGCAGUAGGGAAUCUUCCACAAUGGACGAAAGUCUGAUGGAGCAACGCCGCGUGAGCGAUGAAGGCCUUCGGGUCGUAAAGCUCUGUUGUUAGGGAAGAACAAGUGCGAGAGUAACUGCUCGCACCUUGACGGUACCUAACCAGAAAGCCACGGCUAACUACGUGCCAGCAGCCGCGGUAAUACGUAGGUGGCAAGCGUUGUCCGGAAUUAUUGGGCGUAAAGCGCGCGCAGGUGGUCCUUUAAGUCUGAUGUGAAAGCCCACGGCUCAACCGUGGAGGGUCAUUGGAAACUGGGGGACUUGAGUGCAGAAGAGGAAAGUGGAAUUCCAAGUGUAGCGGUGAAAUGCG
rnacentral:rRNA from 1 species